rnacentral:rRNA from 1 species
AUUGAACGCUGGCGGCAGGCCUAACACAUGCAAGUCGAACGAGUGGCGGACGGGUGAGUAAUGUCUGGGAACCUGCCAGAUGGAGGGGGAUAACUACUGGAAACGGUAGCUAAUCCCGCAUACCAUCCGAUGAGCCCAGAGGGGAUUAGCUAGUUGGUGGGGUAACGGCUUACCAAGGAGACGAGCCCUAGCUGGGCUGAGAGGAUGAACAGCCACACUGUGACUGAGACACGGUCCAGACUCCUACGGGAGGCAGCAGUGGGGAAUAUUGCGCAAUGGGCGCAAGCCUGAUGCAGCCACGCCGCGUGUAUGAAGAAGGCCUUCGGGUUGUAAAGUACUUUCAGCGGGGAGGCGUUACCCGCAGAAGAAGCACCGGCUAACUCCGUGCCAGCCGCCGCGGUAAUUC